GACGAACGCUGGCGGCGUGCUUAACACAUGCCAGUCGAACGGAAAGGCCCUGCUUGCAGGGUACUCGAGUGGCGAACGGGUGAGUAACACGUGGGUGAUCUGCCCUGCACUUCGGGAUAAGCCUGGGAAACUGGGUCUAAUCCCGGAUAGGAGCCAUUUUUAGUGUGAUGGUUGGAAAGUUUUUUCGGUGUAGGAUGAGCUCGCGGCCUAUCAGCUUGUUGGUGGGGUAAUGGCCUACCAAGGCGGCGACGGGUAGCCGGCCUGAGAGGGUGGACGGCCACAUUGGGACUGAGAUACGGCCCAGACUCCUACGGGAGGCAGCAGUGGGGAAUAUUGCACAAUGGGCGCAAGCCUGAUGCAGCGACGCCGCGUGGGGGAUGACGGCCUUCGGGUUGUAAACUCCUUUCGCUAGGGACGAAGCUUUUGUGACGGUACCUAGAUAAGAAGCACCGGCUAACUACGUG
rnacentral:rRNA from 1 species